rnacentral:rRNA from 1 species
AGAGUUUGAUCAUGGCUCAAGAUGAACGCUGGCGGCGUGCUUAACACAUGCAAGUCGAACGGAACUUAAUGAAACCUAGUGAUUUAAGUUUAGUGGCGGACGGGUGAGUAACGCGUGGGUAACCUGCCGCAUGCAGGGGGACAACAGAGGGAAACUUCUGCUAAUACCGCAUAGGCGCACGGGGCCGCAUGGCCUUGUGUGAAAAGAUUUAUCGGCAUGCGAUGGACCCGCGUCUGAUUAGGCAGUUGGUGAGGUAACGGCCCACCAAACCUACGAUCAGUAGCCGGCCUGAGAGGGUGAACGGCCACAUUGGGACUGAGACACGGCCCAAACUCCUACGGGAGGCAGCAGUGGGGAAUAUUGCACAAUGGGGGAAACCCUGAUGCAGCCGACGCCGCGUGAGUGAAGAAGCAUUUCGGUGCGUAAAGCUCUGUCAGCAGGAAAGAAAAUGACGGUACCUGACCAAGAAGCCCCGGCUAACUACGUGCCAGCAGCUGC